AAUUAGAAAGCGAAGUUUUGCGCUUAGUUUCGGCCUAAGUUUUGACUAUUUAGUCUCUAAUUU
rnacentral:tRNA from 1 species